rfam:Glossina pallidipes unplaced genomic scaffold Scaffold4, whole genome shotgun sequence.
GGGGGUAGUUUUUAGUACGUAAGCGCCAUGGAUGGCGAAUCGUGCACGCUGCUACUAAGAACCAGCAGUAUCUUUUGAAGGCUUUCUACCUCC